GCCAUACGCGUGCCCUCGGCUGCAGUAGCGUACGUCGUAGUGAAAUGCGCUGUCCAAGGGCAGCCUAUUGCCACUGUCAGAGGAGGGGUGGACGUGUGUCGGCUGUAACAGUUUUCUCAUCGCCCAGGUGAUCUUGGACACUGAGUGAGGCUAGGCAGUGUUGGGAUGAUGGUAUGUGGGUCUUUUCACUUAUUUCUCUCUUUCGUUUGUUCCAUAUCUGUAUGUCUAUCUUUCUCCUUUCCCCUUCCCCCAUUUGUGUGUGCAGUGCCUGUGGUGUUAGUAGAAGUUGCCCCCAACAUCUGGCCCAGAGUCGAGACUACUAGGCAAGCAUUAUCUUUGAGCUGAUUGGAUGCAUGUUGUGGACUCCCAUUGGCCACCGCUGAACUUUGACCUCUCCCGUCUCAACCCAUCCCGUCCUGUCCUACAGACAGACAGGCAGACAGUGAACCCAGAAACACACACCCUACUCUACUCUACUCCCCUAUCCUACCCCCAUUCCCCUGUGUAUGAGAGUGCUGCACCCUCGUAUGCAGAGAGGAGGUAGUGGGAGGCACCCAGGGGGGGUCGGGGGGUAGAGAAGGGGCGCAGGACUCAGGCCUCAAGAGGUGUUCCUCUCACUCAGACCACCACUCUCCCUCCAAAAUGACCCAGAAUUCCCGAGAGAGCAUGGGCGUCCUGGGCCAGGGUCUGAAGCAGCUGUUCCAGCAGCAACGCAGACGCCUGUCCCUCUCUCGCUUUACCCUAGUCUCCUCCUCUUCCUCCUCUGCAUCCUCCUCUUCCUCAUCCUCUGUGAUCUCAAUGCGUGGCCCCUCUCGCUACCCUCCCGAGGACUACCUCACCCCCCUCCAAGCCCCCUUGGCCUGUCCUGACUCUGACCCCCCCUCUGGUGGUCUCCUUGCCCCCCCAGCUGGUCAGGGUGCCGGCCCUGUGGGCACGAUGAGGCGUGGGACUAUGCUGCAGAGCCAGCACCGU